GACGAACGCUGGCGGCGUGCUUAACACAUGCAAGUCGAACGGAAAGGCCCUGCUUUUGUGGUGUGCUCGAGUGGCGAACGGGUGAGUAACACGUGAGUAACCUGCCCUUGACUUUGGUAUAACUUCAGGAAACUGGGGCUAAUACCGGAUAGGAGCUCCUGCUGCAUGGUGGGGUUUGGAAAGUUUCGGCGGUUGGGUAUGGACUCGCGGCUUAUCAGCUUGUUGGUGGGGUAGUGGCUUACCAAGGCUUUGACGGGUAGCCGGCCUGAGAGGGUGACCGGCCAAAUGGGGACUGAGAUACGGCCAAGACUCCUACGGGAGGCAGAAGUGGGGAAUAUUGAAAAAUGGGCGGAAGCCUGAUGCAGCAACGCCGCGUGCGGGAUGACGGCCUUCGGGUUGUAAACCGCUUUCGCCUGUGACGAAGCGUGAGUGACGGUAAUGGGUAAAGAAGCACCGGCUAACUACGUG
rnacentral:rRNA from 1 species